rnacentral:rRNA from 1 species
UGGGGAAUAUUGGGCAAUGGGCGCAAGCCUGACCCAGCAACGCCGCGUGAAGGAAGAAGGCUUUCGGGUUGUAAACUUCUUUUCUCAGGGACGAAGGAAGUGACGGUACCUGAGGAAUAAGCCACGGCUAACUACGUGCCAGCAGCCGCGGUAAUACGUAGGUGGCGAGCGUUAUCCGGAUUUACUGGGUGUAAAGGGCGUGUAGGCGGGAUUGCAAGUCAGACGUGAAAACUAUGGGCUCAACCCAUAGCCUGCGUUUGAAACUGUAGUUCUUGAGUGCUGGAGAGGCAAUCGGAAUUCCGUGUGUAGCGGUGAAAUGCGUAGAUAUACGGAGGAACACCAGUGGCGAAGGCGGAUUGCUGGACAGUAACUGACGCUGAGGCGCGAAAGCGUGGGGAGCAAACA